rnacentral:misc_RNA from 1 species
CCGAGUUUACAACUCCCAAACCCCUGUGAACAUACCACUUGUUGCCUCGGCGGAUCAGCCCGCUCCCGGUAAAACGGGACGGCCCGCCAGAGGACCCCUAAGCUCUGUUUCUAUAUGUAACUUCUGAGUAAAACCAUAAAUAAAUCA